UCUGCCCAGCAGUGUUCCGCUCAGGGUGGCAGACAGCAGGGCGGUGCUGCCCUGUAGCUCUGGUCAGAGCUUCAGGAGGACUGAUGGCUCAGCACGCGGCCCUCUGCCCUGUGGGUCACGGCUGCUGGUGCCCAGGUGCCCUGCAGUUGUCUUCCAACCCAGAAGCCUGAUGACAAGCCUUUCCUGGUCGGGGUGCGAUGAAGGGUGAAUUGGGCUAUUUUUCCUAGACCCAUGGGUCUACUCUUUCAGGCAUUGACAACGUCGUUGACAAGACAGACAUUUACACAUGGAAAAAAAAACUAACAGCACCAGCAGUCCCACAAUAAUGCCCAUUAAGAAGAUGUUGCAUGUACAAGGAUAUUCAUGGCAGCGUUGUGUUUUAAUGAACAGGAUUUUGGAAGACAUCUAAAAUGUCCAUUAAUAGAAGAUGGGUGAAACAAAUUAUGAUCAUUUAUAUGAUGGAAUACUACACAACUAUAAAAAAUGAUGGGGUGGUUCCACAUUUACUUAAAUGGAAGCAUUCCAAAAUACAACUUAAGAGAAAAAGGCAAGUGUGUGGUAGUAUAUACUAUGCUACCAUUUGUGGAAAGAAAAAGUAGGACUAUGUAUGGGAAGUCUUAUAUACUCAUUAAACAUGAUACACAAGAAUCUGGGAAAAGGGAACGGCUCUGGGGGGCCUAAGAAAUGGAGCAGGAGGAACACUGACUUUACCUUUAAUAUCCUCUUGUUUCUUCUGAAUUUUUCACCAUGUACAUAUACUAUCAAAAUUUUUAAUAAAAAAUAACAUUUAGAAGG